CAAGCAAUGAAUGAGUGGAGAGCCCAUGCAGCUAAGAAAUCUGUUCCAUGCCCCACAGCUUGUGACUGUGGGACUCUGUGGGCAUGAAACCUGGCUUGUAACUUCACACCUUCAUUGGGGUAGCAAGCUGGCCUGAAGCUCAAGACCACAUGAAGCCCUACUGAGUCUGCUUCUCCCUGCUUCCUGUUCCUCUACAUCGCUGGCUCUGACUUAGGUGGCAAUAAACUUGCCAGAUGAUGUCUUCUAGAAA
ensembl:antisense 1700034H15Rik RIKEN cDNA 1700034H15 gene